AUGUUGGCCAUGCUGGGCUUGGUUGCCGCGCUGCUGUCGUAUCCGACAGCCCUGUCCAUGGCGGAGGCGUCGUUGAUCUCCAUGCCAACGGAAGAUGUUCACCGUGGUCAUGCUCCGGUAGUGUUCCUAGCAGAAAGCCUCACCCCGGACUACUACGCCGACUCUUGCCCGGAUGUGCGGGGCCUUGUGCGCUCCGCCGUGGGCGAAGCGCUCCAGAAGGAUAUCGCCCUCGCCGCCGGGCUCAUCCGCCUCUUCUACCACGACUGCUUCCCUCAGGUGCACAUGCAUACGUAUAUCUCAACAAGUAUGUGUCCUGAGACGGAUUCACAGGGCUGCGAUGCGUCCAUCCUUCUGGCGGGAGCAGAGAGUGAGCUACAGAUGUGGCCGAACAGGUUUCUGCAGCGGGCUGCCGUGCAGCUCAUCGAGGACAUCCGCAUCAAGGUGCACCAUGCCUGCGGGCCCGUUGUCUCUUGCGCCGAUAUCAUGGCGCUCGCAACCCAUGAUGCCGUACUCAAGCUCAUCGAGGCCUUCGAGAGCCGCAGCCUCGACGUGACUGACCUCGUAGCGCUCUCCGGCGCGCACACCAUCGGAGGGGCUCACUGCACCUCCUAUGCCGACCGCUUUGCCGGAGAGGCCAACUCCAACGAGUUCGUCCGGAUGCUCCUGCACAACUGCACCACCGGCGACAUAAGAGACAAGCAGGACCUCGACGUGACAACCCCGAACAAGUUCGACGACAAGUACUUUGGCAACCUGGAGGCGGGGAAGGGGGUGCUCAACUCCGACAUGCAGCUCCUCCAUGACCCCCGCGCCAUGGAGCUCGUCAAAGGCAUCGCGGAAAACCAGUGGUGGUUCUGGAACCAGUUCGACACCUCCAUCAGGAAGCUGGGGCAGCUGCAGGGGCCCCAAGGAAACGCCGGUGAGGUCCGCACCAUCAGCUGCUCCGUGCCUAACCACAAGAGCAGCAACGUCGGUGAGGUCUGA
rnacentral:rRNA from 1 species